GGUCCCAUAGCUCAGUUGGUUAGAGCGUCGUACUAAUAAUCCCUCAGUCACGAGAGAUCAUCAAGUAAAUGCGAAGGCCGAGAGUUCAAGCCUCUCUGGGACCA